AGUGAACGCUGGCGGUAGGCCUAACACAUGCAAGUCGAACGGCAGCACAGUAAGAGCUUGCUCUUACGGGUGGCGAGUGGCGGACGGGUGAGGAAUACAUCGGAAUCUACUUUUUCGUGGGGGAUAACGUAGGGAAACUUACGCUAAUACCGCAUACGACCUACGGGUGAAAGCAGGGGAUCUUCUGACCUUGCGCGAUUGAAUGAGCCGAUGUCGGAUUAGCUAGUUGGCGGGGUAAAGGCCCACCAAGGCGACGAUCCGUAGCUGGUCUGAGAGGAUGAUCAGCCACACUGGAACUGAGACACGGUCCAGACUCCGACGGGAGGCAGCAGUGGGGAAUAUUGGACAAUGGGCGCAAGCCUGAUCCAGCCAUACCGCGGGGGUGAAGAAGGCCUUCGGGUUGUAAAGCCCUUUUGUUGGGAAAGAAAAGCAGCAGGUUAAUACCCCGCUGUUCUGACGGUACCCAAAGAAUAAGCACCGGCUAACUUCGUG
rnacentral:rRNA from 1 species